AGCAAAUGAUGUCUAUUUCACGAUGGUCUUCAGAUGCCCACCCUGGGCAGUGCUGAGAAGGCCACUUGGCACAACUGAUGCUGGAAG
ensembl:snoRNA